AGCCAUUAUUGUAGAAUGUUGUU
rnacentral:siRNA from 1 species